AUACGGAGGAUCCGAGCGUUAUCCGGACUUAUUGGGUUUAAAGGGAGCGUAGGUGGAUUGUUAAGUCAGUUGUGAAAGUUUGCGGCUCAACCGUAAAAUUGCAGUUGAAACUGGCAGUCUUGAGUACAGUAGAGGUGGGCGGAAUUCGUGGUGUAGCGGUGAAAUGCUUAGAUAUCACGAAGAACUCCGAUUGCGAAGGCAGCUCACUAGACUGUUACUGACACUGAUGCUCGAAAGUGUGGGUAUCAAACAGGAUUAGAUACCCUGGUAGUCCACACAGUAAACGAUGAAUACUCGCUGUUUGCGAUAUACAGUAAGCGGCCAAGCGAAAGCAUUAAGUAUUCCACCUGGGGAGUACGCCGGCAACGGUGAAACUCAAAUGAAUUGACGGGG
rnacentral:rRNA from 1 species